UACGUAGGGUGCGAGCGUUAAUCGGAAUUACUGGGCGUAAAGCGUGCGCAGGCGGCUUACUAAGACAGGUGUGAAAGCCCCGAGCUUAACUUGGGAAUGGCGCUUGUGACUGGUAGGCUGGAGUGUGGCAGAGGGAGGUGGAAUUCCACGUGUAGCAGUGAAAUGCGUAGAGAUGUGGAGGAACACCGAUGGCGAAGGCGGCUCACUGGCCCGAUACUGACGCUGAGGUGCGAAAGCGUGGGGAGCAAACAGG
rnacentral:rRNA from 1 species